AUAAUGCUACUUCCGUCCAGUCAUAGCACCCCUUGGUCGGGGAAUCAGGCAAUGAGGGCGGCUCCGGGAGAUCCUCGGAGGGAUGAGAUUUCCAUGA
rfam:Ruminococcus callidus ATCC 27760 genomic scaffold Scaffold16, whole genome shotgun sequence.